AUGCUGGAGGCCGGGGAUGGAGAUCAGCAGCUCUGGUGGUGCUGCGGCCACCGCUCUGCCCUGGUGUCCGUAGGCAGGGACCUGUGUCACCAGGGGCUGUGCAGGUUGUCCCUGGAGGAAUCCGGGGGCUGCCCAGGCCGGGAGGGUCUCACAGCCCCCGAGGCCCCACAGGGCAGAGCCUGGGAGAGCAGCGGCACCAUGGCCAAGCGUGGGGGUGGCCGGUGGAAGCGGGGUGCUGAUGGUCCCCUCGAUGUGGAAGCCCUGCGGAUGGAAGCAGCAGCCGCAGGGGCCCAUCUGCAGCCCUGUGGGGGGGAAAGGAGCCAUGUUGGGCUGGGGGCAGCCUCCAGGUCACCCGCCGAGCCCAGGGCACCCCUGUGGUCCUGUCCCUGCUGUGGGCCAGGCUCCUGGGGAGCUGGUGGCCGGGCACUCCCCGGGGUGAGCUGCUGUGCCAGGGGGGGACAGGGCUGGAAACCAGGGAAGGGACACGCUUCUGGGAGGGAAAUGGGAGAGAUGGCCCCAAGGGGUGUGGAAAGUCUCUGGAAAUGGGCUUUAGUGGGCAGGCGACCCCCAGGGGGUAGGGACCCUGACCUGGGCUUGCUGAACCCUCCCCCCUGGUGCCAAAAGUGCUGUGGGGGAAGAGGGGAGGUGGGAUGGUGCAGGUGAGCAGGCAGAGGGGGUGUGGGAUGGUGCAGGUGAGCAGGGUCCUUGGGCCCGGAUGGUGGCAGAGGGGACAGAGGGAGCAUACCUGGUGGUGGGGCCAGGGGGGCCCAUGGUUGUGCCCCCACGGGGGGUGCCCAGGCUGCGGGGAAGGGCUGCUCCUGCCCCGGCAGUGCAACCAGGGUGGCUGAGCCUGGAAGAGAGACAGGAGCCAUGGCCACGGUCACCUGCUGCGCUCUUGGCCCCGAGAGUGUCCCCAGGCUCUGGGUCGGGGUCGGUCCUUACCGUGCGGGUAGAAGGUUUGGGGGAUCACAAAGGUGGGAAGCAUCUGGGGUGCUGCAGGAGCCCAGAAGCCGCUGGGUGAGAGCCAGAGCGGUGGCAGCGCCAUCGUGGGUCCUCUCGCUCUCCCCACUGCUAAGGACUCUUUGGUCGCCCGGGAUGGAAUGUUGGGGCUCCCUC
rnacentral:lncRNA from 1 species